rnacentral:rRNA from 1 species
AUGAUGGGAUGGUAUCCUCCUUUAAAUGAAUUGAGUGACUCGACUUGGCACAUGUUCAUGCAUGUAGUUGAAUCAAAUCAACAUAGCCUUCAUGAUAUUUAUGUUCAUGGUGGAUUAUAUCCUACUCAUGCUUGUAUUCAGUGUAAAUUAAUUUUAAUGCAUGUUUACGACUGUUGUCGCUCUCUGAGUUGGUCGCUUCCCAGUCUUUUGCUAGCCUUCACCUAUACUAAGCAGGAAUACUGCUUGUGCAUUCAAACUCCUUCAACCCCAAAGUUGUUCUAUAUGAGUUCACUAUACCUACAUAUAUGCGGUAUUUACCUGUCGUUCCAUGUAAAUUUGUAUGUGCCAAACUCUAAACCUUCAAAUAAACAUUUUGUUUUGCAUGCUCGAAUAGCUCAUAUGUCAACUAGGGCUGCCCUUAUCUUCCGUGUUAGGCGGGUUAUUCUCAAGAGGAGUGGACUCCGCUCCUCCUUCAUGAGAAAAUGGCUGGUAACCGGGAUGCCCAGUCCCAUGCUUUAUGCAAACUAA